rnacentral:rRNA from 1 species
AUUGAACGCUGGCGGCAUGCCUUACACAUGCAAGUCGAACGGCAGCGGACCUUCGGGUGCCGGCGAGUGGCGAACGGGUGAGUAAUAUAUCGGAACGUACCUUUCAGUGGGGGAUAACGUAGCGAAAGUUACGCUAAUACCGCAUAUUCUGUGAGCAGGAAAGCAGGGGAUCGCAAGACCUUGCGCUGAUUGAGCGGCCGAUAUCAGAUUAGCUAGUUGGUGAGGUAAAGGACUCACCAAGGCGACGAUCUGUAGCGGGUCUGAGAGGAUGAUCCGCCACACUGGAACUGAGACACGGUCCAGACUCCUACGGGAGGCAGCAGUGGGGAAUUUUGGUACAAUGGGCGGCAAGACCU